UACAGAGGUCUCAAGCGUUGUUCGGAUUCAUUGGGCGGAAAGGGUGCGUAGGCGGCGCGGUAAGUCGGGUGUGAAAUCUCGGAGCUUAACUCCGAAACUGCAUUCGAUACUGCCGUGCUUGAGGACUGGAGAGGAGACUGGAAUUUACGGUGUAGCGGUGAAAUGCGUAGAUAUCGUAAGGAAGACCAGUGGCGAAGGCGGGUCUCUAGACAGUUCCUGACGCUGAGACACGAAGGUCAGGGGAGCAAACGGG
rnacentral:rRNA from 1 species